UACGUAGGGUGCGAGCGUUAAUCGGAAUUACUGGGCGUAAAGCGUGCGCAGGCGGCUUUGCAAGACAGAGGUGAAAUCCCCGGGCUCAACCUGGGAACUGCCUUUGUGACUGCAAGGCUAGAGUACGGCAGAGGGGGAUGGAAUUCCGCGUGUAGCAGUGAAAUGCGUAGAUAUGCGGAGGAACACCGAUGGCGAAGGCAAUCCCCUGGGCCUGUACUGACGCUCAUGCACGAAAGCGUGGGGAGCAAACAGGAUUAGAUACC
rnacentral:rRNA from 1 species